rnacentral:rRNA from 1 species
UACGUAGGGGGCUAGCGUUGUCCGGAUUUAUUGGGCGUAAAGAGCGUGUAGGCGGCCAGGUAGGUCUGCUGUGAAAACUCGAGGCUCAACCUCGAGACGUCGGUGGAAACCGUCUGGCUAGAGUCCGGAAGAGGAGAGUGGAAUUCCUGGUGUAGCGGUGAAAUGCGCAGAUAUCAGGAAGAACACCUAUGGCGAAGGCAGCUCGCUGGGACGGUACUGACGCUGAGACGCGAAAGCGUGGGGAGCGAACAGG